UACGUAGGGCGCAAGCGUUAUCCGGAAUUAUUGGGCGUAAAGAGCUCGUAGGCGGCUUGUCGCGUCGGAUGUGAAAGCCCGGGGCUUAACUCCGGGUCUGCAUUCGAUACGGGCAGGCUAGGGUUCGGUAGGGGAGAUCGGAAUUCCUGGUGUAGCGGUGAAAUGCGCAGAUAUCAGGAGGAACACCGGUGGCGAAGGCGGAUCUCUGGGCCGAUACUGACGCUGAGGCGCGAAAGCGUGGGGAGCAAACAGG
rnacentral:rRNA from 1 species